CCUGUCUGCUGGGGAGGGAGGAGAGAGCUUCUGUGCACCUGUGAGCCCCGGGUCUGUGAAGCUUGACAACUCAGCAGACUCUGAGGACAGGAGGGUCGGAUGUCACCGCAGCCCGAGGCGCCCAGGCUGGCUAUAAUUUCUCCGGCCCUCAUCCUUUCCCCCUCCAGCUCUGUGACACCCACCUUUCUCUGCUGGACCCACAGUCCUGGACCAGAAGGGCCCACACCGAGGGAGCCAGAGGUUUGCCCACUUUCUGCCCCAAAACUCUGUCCACCCUUCUCCUGCCAACUCCUGGGAGGGCCCCAGGUUCAAACAGCAGCCCUGGACUCGAGCUUCUCUCAGAGCCCUCCCGAGUCCCUCCCCUCUCUCCGUGACCACCGAGGCAUGGCAGGAGCCCCCGACGAUGCUUGCUCCCCUCAGAGCUAAGCUCCAGAGACAUGGGGUGGCGAGAACCACAGCUGCUCCACCCACAUGCAGCCCUAGUCUGCUCAGUUCUCAGUGGAUGCCAAAGGUGGGUGGGUGGGGGAGGCAAAACCAGCCUGCUGAGUGUCUACUCAGGGGACCUGAACAAGUCCCAUUCCCACUACGACCCUCAGGGCCCAAUCUGUGUGAUGCAGCCUCGUCAGCAUCAUCUAGGAAAUGUGAAGCCAAGUCCAUGAUUGGCCGUGGCUGCUGGGACCUCUGGGUGGAGAAGGAGCCUGGGCCUCCAUCUGGGCCCUGAGAAGAAUGUUGGGAUUGAUGGGCAAUGUGUGCCACACCUCAGCGUGAGGCAAGGGCAGUGUGCGUGCUGUGCUUUUCUUGUCCCUAGAGGAGAUGAACUCUCUAGGUCUCUCCACCUCUGGGUCUUCCCAUGCCACCCUGAGCCAGGUGCUCAGAUCUCUGUAGAAAAUUCAGUGGCGGCUGCCUCAGAAGCUGGUCCCCACAGUGGAAAAUGGAUCCUUGGACAAAGCUGCAGCAAUGCAGACCCACCCUCACCAGCACCUCCCAUCUUCCCAGCCAGGAGGCCCCUGUGAAGAGAGGGCCAGUGUGGGCCUUGCCCUCAGCCAGAAGUUGAAUGGAUCCCGGGAGGCCUCAAACCCUGAAUUUGAGUGGGAAACUCACCUGUGGUUCCCAUAUCCUGGGGGACCCCUUGCCCUCUCAGGGCUUCAUCUCCAGGGUCAGGCCCCAGGCAUCCACGGGGAGCCCUGAAUCCUGGGCAAGGCCCUGCCUUGAAGGCAGCCACAGCUCAGGGGAAGGCAAAGAUGAACGGGCAUGGAGGCCCUGGGAACUCAGUGCAGGGGGCUUCGCCUGCCUAGGGAUGCCCGUGGCUCAGAGCUGGGAUCAGGGGGAGGGGGAAGGGAGUCGGGCCUGGAGGAGCGAGUGCCAGGCCUCAGCUGGCCUGGCAGACUGAAUGAUUUCACAGGAAGAGAGAAGAAGGAGCAGGUCUGGCUGAGGUGACAGAGGGACACAAAUGUGGACCCUGCCCAGGGAGGUGCCCUCGGUGAGGAUGGAGCCAGGCCUCAUGAGGGGCUGCAGGCCCACCCCACCCCUCUCCCCCAGACAGGGCCCCUCCCUCGGGCCAGACAGAAAGCUGACCCUGUCCUUCUGCUGCUCCACACACAGGACUCAGGGCUGGGGAGGGCAGGAGGACUGACAGAGACAUCUCCAACCAGGUUCCAUCGCUGGCACUUUGCCAUGUCCUGUCCCAGUAAAGGCUCUGUUGGGCUGGACGGAAGCCAGGGAGACAGGCCUCCUGCCCAGCUUCUCUGGGAGCAGAAAUGACCCCAGGCCAGGGCUGGGGUGUGGGACAUCACCUGGCACAGGGCUCUGACUCGAGGCAGGAGGUGGUCCCGGCCAUGGUCCUCAAUGCCUUUGAUGGCACCUUGCACAGCUGGGUCCAAGCGUGCCCAGGGAACGUGCGCCCUGCUCAGCCACCACCAUGUCUUCCUGUCAGGGGCAAUAGAAGGGGCCCAUGUGGCCUGGUCAGGAGCACUGUGGGCCCAGCCACAGCCCCAAUGCUGCACGCCCUCCCGUGCUGGUGCCCCUCCAUGUUGCCUCCCAGAGGAAAGACGGGAAACAGAUGCUCAUUUCUGUUGUUGUUGUCUAUUUCACCCCCACUCUUUUUCCUAAAUUUUAUUUUUUGAGGACGAUUAGCCCUGAGCUAAUAUCCACCUCCAAUCCUCUUUUUUGCUGAGGAAGACUGGCCCAGAGCUAACAUCCAUGCCCAUCUUCCUCUAUAUGUGGGACGCCUGCCACAGCAUGGCACAAUCAUCGGUGCGUAGGUCUACGCCCAGGAUCCAAACUGGUGAACCCAUGGUCUCCGAAGCGGAGCGCGUGAACUUAACUCCUACAACACCAGGCCAGCCCCACUAAAUGUAUUUAUUUAUGGAAUAAGCGUGACAUCCAUGUGGUUAAAAUACAAAAGGAAAACUUCCUCUCCCCAGAAGCAGCCAGUGUUAUUGGCACCUGGCCUUUCCUGAACCCAAUCCUGCAAUUCCGUACACACAUGUGUGUGUAGGGUAGGUUCUUCCCCCUUUUCUCACAGAUGGCAGCAAAUCAAUGGUCCACAUGAUUGGCCCACAGGGUCCAAAGCCUGGCUGCCUAGCCCACCAGCUCAGCUGGCCCCCUGCCCAAGCCUGGGACAUACCUGAGGAUGCAGCAGUUUUCCAGCACAUGCAGCUCGGGAAAGGUGUGGUCACUGGCGUUCUGCUGGAUGAAGACUUCAGCCUUAUCCUUGUAGCUGCGGUGUGAAGAAGAUGCUGGCCCUCAAAACUCUCCCUUCUCAUCUCAACUGCUGCUUCUCUCAUAGAAUCACAAAUGUGGGUGAUGAUAACCGUGAUGGAGACUAUGCAGCGAGGAUUUACUCGCGCUGGCUCUGUGCCAGGUGCUGCAGCCAGAUGCUUCCUGAGGAUCUUUUCAUUGAACGCUCUCCACGACCUUUUGGGGUAAAUGCUUCCAGAAAAGGAUGGGAGCAGGGUUUCCCAGUGGUCUGGAAUCACAGCUAACCCUGCAUUCUAGAGGCCCAGCCUUCCUGGCUGGUGAAGGAAAAGGUCAGGAAGAAGGCAGCGCUCCCAGAGCCGGGCUGGCCCCCUGGGAGAGUCUGAGUAAGGCCUGGGAGUGCACACAAGAAGGGGAGGUAGCCCCAUGCCCACCUGGGCCAUCACAGCUGGCCUCCCUUCCCCAGGCAGAGAGUGAAGAAAGGUGGCAGAGAGCGUACACACUCCCUGCUCCCUAAAGGCAAGGAAGAAGAGGUGCCCUUGAGCGUCUAGUCCCAAGAAUGCGGAUCAGGGUCUCAAACUGGCCACUGAGCAGAUUUUCUGAAACGUUGAAAACCCGGCUGAAUUCACCUAAAAAUCCACUUCUCUGGCCUCUCUUGAGUAACCCACCUGGUGUCAGCACCUUUGGAGACCCCAUCCCAGGUGAACACAGCCAUCUGAAGACCCCAGACACAGGAGCCUCCUGACGCAGCCUCACACAGCACUUUGUCCGAAACUAGCUUCUUAGUAAUUCCCCACAGCCCCAAGGACUCCACAGCACCUCCUCUCACCCAAGCCCAUUAAGACAGAGGCAGAGUCCCCACCUAACCCUGCGGCUGGGACAGAGCUGGGUGAGCAGCUCAGGGAUUUGACAGCAAGUCCUGCUGUGAAAACCAGAGGGAGGAGAGGGGGCGCUGGCCCCGGCUGCUUGUUUAAGGGAGCACCAAGAAGUUGAGUGACUGAGAUAAAUAGUAAUUUACUGCGAUUUAUUUUUUUCCCCAUGGAGGAAGAUUGACCCUGAGCUAACAUCUGUGCCAAUCUUUCUCUAUUUUGUAUAUGGACUGCCACCACAGCAUGGUUGACGAGUGGUAUAGGUCUGCACCCAGGAUCCAAACCCGCAAACCUGGGCCACCAAAGCGGAGUGUGCAGAACUUUAACCACUUGGCCACAGGCCGGCCCCUACUGCAAUAUUUUUAAACCUUGAAAUCUGUGCCAAAAAGUCCAUGAUGAACAAAACACCAAGUUUUAAAUCAGGACAGGAUCUGACGCAGCACUUUCACGAUGCUCCUCCCUGGUUCCCCCAAUCCCAGCCCUGCUGUCCAGUACAGGAGCCCCGCGCCCCAUGUGCUGUUCAAAUGUUGAAUAAUUAAAAUUAAAUAAAAUCUAAACUUCAGUUCUUCCGUGGAACUAGCUCAACAGCCACCCAGAUCUGGUCCCUCCAUGUUGGACGGUGCUGACAUGGGACAUUUCCAUCCCCUGCCUCCAGAGCCAGGGCACGAGGUGGAGCAGGCACGACUUGGGGGACCUGAAGCCAAUCCCGCCCCCUUCCCUGCAUCGGGAACUGGCCAAGGCGUGGUGGCCAGCGGCUGGUGGGCUUAGUUAGCUCUCUGACUUGAGUUAGGUAGACCCAGCCGUGCAUGCUCCCCUGCUCUGAGCAGGGGCCACCUUUUCACUUACCUUUCCAGAAACUUUGAAAAUGUUUCCAGAACCAUGGCUUGAACCCGUCUGGUGACGGAUGGCCCAAUGUGUCGGACUGCAUCUACAGCUUCUUUCAGUAGCUGUCAGUCAAAACAAACAGGCUUUCAGGGGGUCCCAGGGCCGACCACAUAGCCAGUGGACGCUGGGAGGAUGUGGUCCUCCCCAAUUUUGUACCUGUGCCCCACCCCUUGCCCCCCUGCCAUGUCUGCCUACUGCAGAUGCCACGCCAUCCACCAGGCCCAUGACCCAACACAUCUCGGCAGGUCUCUCUCCCUCACACCCCUCACUGUGUCCUGCAAUCAGCCAACCUGAACAGCAUUCUCACCCACGUGCUAGGCUUCACCUGUUUGGCCCGGAGGCUGCCCCAACCCCACCUGAGUGCCAGCUCCCCACCCAAGACUCUGCACAGGGCAUCUUGGCAUAAAGGUAUUGAGGAUGCCUAAGGUCCCCCCCAUCUCCUUUUCUCCCUCCAACCCUGAGCAGUCAAGAGAAGCAUCAGAAACCCCCAAACCCAGAUCCUCUAAAAAAGGCCACCCCCCACAACACACACACACACACACAUGCUGGUGGCCUGUCUUCCUGCCGGGCCAAAUAUCCGUCACCCCCAUGGGCCACAUGACCGUCUCCUUGAGGCUCAGUGCCCACCUUGCUAGAGUCCCGCCCACUGCAGGCACCCAUCUCUAUGUAGGUCCUAACUGAGGCCCAGCAGUCAGGUUCAUAAGCUGAGAGCUUCCAGGAAGAGGCCUCUCCCCAAAAGAUACACCCUGCAUCCCAGCACUGGGACCCCACCAUCACAAGCCAGGUUUCCAAGUUGAGUGCUCUCUGCUCCCCACUUCUCUGCUUGAUGCCCUCAGACACCACACAUGUACCCCAAUGCUGUCAUUGCUCUAAUGCCCCAGAGCCCCAAUCUCCACCCUGCUCUGUCCCCUCCUGGCUGCACCCUGCCCCUGACCACCCAUCAGUCACAUUGCCCCUCCCCAAUGAACCCGGCCCUCAGGAAGGGCCCAGGACCCCUUGUGGUGAGUUUGAAAGGGGCCACCUGGCAUUUACCUGGUAGAUUUCAAGGAACACUGAGGAGGCAGACUCGGUCCACUUUUUCUGAUCACAGAUCAGAACAUUUUCUAGACACUUUUUCAACUCCUCCUGCCCAGAACACAAUAAAAACAACUUUUAUCCCAAGAAUCUGCUCCAAAGCACAGCCAGAUCCUGCCCCUCUACAGCUGUGGCUGAUGCUGCCAACUGAGGACAGGAGUGGGGGUAACAACUGGCGAUGGCCUGGAGCCCCCACCAACCCACAGCCUGAAAUCCGUCCGGGAGGUACUCAGUUUCCUGAGCAGUCCUCUUCUUUCGUGGCCCCCAUCCCUCUGUCCCUCAGGGCUGGUCUGUGAAGCACCUUUGAGAUACUCCCUCUCUUUCAUUCCUGGCAAGACAGCUGCUUCCCACUGUAACCCAGUCACUGGAUCGGAGAUGACGAACGUCUACCUCUCCUUGGGAACCAUGGCCCUCACAGCAGCCGUGAGCUGGCAGAGGUGCCCGGAGACCUACAGUCUGAGGGGUGCACGGGCUGCGGACUGCUAGGACAGGACCUGGGCCAAGCGCCUGGGGUUUACCGAGGGCUGUGGGAACAGGGCUGGGCCAGGGAGGCCAGGGCACUGGAGCCUAGCUUCUGGCCAAAACCCAAAGAGUAACCCCUCGGGCCCACCCACAGGCAAUGACAAAGGCUUUCCCUGGCAGGCUCAUGGGGAAGCCACCCUCCCCACAUGGGGCCCGGGGCCCAGCUAGUGCACUGCAGUCUCAGAGAGAGCUGCCAGCAAGGGCUCGGCCGUGUCUCCCAUGCAUGUCUCUGUUCCUAACCCAGGCACCUCCAUCUGGAGGCCUGCUUAUGGGGGCCCCUGGCCAAGCACUCAGUACUUUUCCACUCCUAGCCUUCCCUCCCCCAUGCACCUGAUCCUCACCAGGCAGCGGUCCUAGGGGGGUGCAACAGGGGAGCGGGUGCUUGCUGGUAGCACCUCAGUAAGAUGCGAAAGUCUGCACUGUUACUUCGUUCUGGCUGCUUGUCUGAAUUGACCACUUGGACACCCCACAGCUGAGACCAGCUCCUGGUGGUCAGAGUGUGGAAGAGCAGAGAGUGAUAAGCCCUGUCUCCUUUAACUCAGCCCAGAUUAUGACUUUGAAGACUCAUGGGGAGCCAUGAAGGACCAGGAGGCCACAGACCCAAGUGCUUCAAGGAGGCAGAGCCCUGAGUCUGGCCAUCCUGUCUUGUUAGCCCCUGAGGAAGAGGCUGGAGGCAUUUAUAUACCAGUUCCUGGACAAUUCCAGUUAAAUCUACACCUAUUCUUUAUCUCACUGUCACAAAGCUUAGUUUCUAAGCUAAGAAGGGCAGAGAGCUUCCCCAAACCCGAAAAGCUUUUUCCACUAGUCCGCAUGACCAUUGACACAUCUGUGACCUGAGACUAGAAAUCCUUGUUAUAGGAAACCACAUUGGUUGAAACUGAUCACGGUAGAAAACUGUGAUGUCCCCUUAAGUCCUGUGUUUGCCGUGGAUGAACUGUGUGUGCCCACCUGGGGACAACCAGCUCUCCAUCCAAGGCUCACCAGUCUGCCAUGUCACUCACUGGUGCAUACAGAGCCAGACGCAUACUGGUCAGGGCAGCAGCAUUGCAUGCUGUCCGUGAAAGCCUCGUGCCCCGGCCCACAGCACACUGUUAUCUCCCACACGUGACAGUGGUCAAAGGCCAGAAUCAGCACCCUGCCCCCACUCCUAGGGGUGGACGUGGGCUCUGGCUCAAGCCCACCACCCAUGGCCCAAUCUGGCCCCUCCCCUACCUACUGUCCCCCAGAAGCAGGACAAGGACACCUUGGUGGCAGAUGCCCCUGGAAGCCAUUUACCUGGAUCAGCCCCACCAGCUUCUCCUGCAUUUGGAAUAUCCAGGUAAUGAACAUCAUUGAGUCCAAGAGGUUCCCGGCCAUGGACUUCUGGGAGGUGGGACCUACUCUCUGAAGCAUCUCCCUGCUGAAUUUGGAGGAGCCAUGAGUGCACAAGGCUGAGCGUGGCUGGGGAGGGGGGGGGGGGGUGGUGAGAGGGGCUGGGGUAGAGAGGACAGCUCAGAGCUAAGGACAGUGGACUCCAGGCUGGCAGUGCUGGUCCUGUGACUGGAGAAGGCAGCUGGGGUUGACAAGAGGGAGCAAAAGACUCUACUGGGGUAGACAAGCCUCAGGGGUCACACACAAGCACGGGCCAUGAGCUCCCCAUACACAUGCAUGGACACAACCUAACAUGCACACUGACACACACUACCACACCCAUACACACACUACACAAAGAACACACUGACGCACACACACUACCACACACGAAUGUGCACACACUGUCCCCACGGCCGCUGAGUCUGGCCUUCCCUCAUGACACUCCCGCCUGGGCAAUCCUUCCAAAGGCCUCUGUGUUGACCUCAGCCCUGGGCCUGAGGGCCCUCGCCACCAGGCACUGGCCUCGUCCAGGACCCCAAGGUCCUCAGGAGGACUCACCCCAGCUGCCCAAACAAGGUCGUCUUGCCCCAGUUGUACAGCUCAAAGUAGGCUUCCCUGUCGUGACUGUAGGAGGAAGGGAGCUCGGAGAGGCGGCUGAGGAGGACCUCCUGGAAACACGUCCUGUAGAUUUCCCAGAGGGGGGCCCCCAUCCGGCCUGCCCUCUGGGACCCUAGGCUGUGUCCCACAGCUUUGUCCAGCUCCUUCAGGUACGGGCGCAGCUGGGUGCUUGGCUUCAUAGUGGGCAAUUGGUCCUCAGCAUCUGUUCUCAGGAGCCUCUCCAGAUGACUUCCCCAGAAAGCAACUCCACCAUCCUCGAGGGCGCUGGCCUCCCAGCUCUGGGGGUUGUCCUCCACCCACUCCACAGUGGCCACCACUGCCUGGAGCUUUAGCUCCAGCUUCUGGCUGUACCCAAUGCCUCCCAGAGCCUCCUUGAUGACCUGCCACAUGCUCUCAGCCACAACCUUGUACUGGAGACCACAGUCCUGCCCUUCCUGUGACAACUCCGAGAUGCUCUGGCAGGCUUCCAGGAACUGCCCCUUCUGUACCAACUUUUGGAAAUCUGGAAGAAAGGAGCCCAGAAAUGAUGACUCAGAGAGGCCUUGGAAACACGGAAAUCAGGUGAGGUGGGAGAGGGGCACCUGCCCAAGGGGAUUCCUCAGUGUAAUUCUCACUCGCAUAAGGGUGGGUUUGGGCCAAGCUGUAUUGAACUCACCCAUCAGGGGAACCAGCAAGAGGCCAAGGCGGCCAGUUUGAAGAAGCUUUGGGAACAGGGGUCUAUGUAGCCAGUCAGAUCGGAAGGCCACAGAUUUCUUACUAUGGUUGCAGGAGACUGGUAGGCUUUGCACUGUGUCACCUUCAGAGCAGAAAAUCACAACACUCAGAGCUUUCUUCUGGUGAGCCUCUG
ensembl:lncRNA